GCUUGCUCUGUGUCCUUCUGUUCUCUUCUCUUUCUUUGUGUGCAGUUCCUCACCCACCUCACUUCAGCCCAGCUGAGCACAACCAGGAGAGAAGUGUUUGGUACGUGCAAAGGGACUCUAUGAUCAAGCACCGGGCCCAGAAAGCUCCCCCUGGGCAACACAGGCACUGUGAGCGAUGUUUCAGCCGGCACUGCCGCGCACCCAUUGAGAUCUCCGUGUCCUGCAUGGUGAUCAGCUGCCACCUCCACUGCGGGGCCACCUUCCACAUGUGCAAGGAGGAGGAGCACAAAUUGCUCUGCCCCUUGGAGCAGGUGUCCUGCCUCAACUCAGCCUAUGGCUGCCCUUUCUCCAUGGCCCGCUUCAAGCUGGGGAAGCACCUCCAGGUCUGUCCAGCCAGUGUUGUCUGCUGCUCGAUGGAGUGGAACCGCUGGCCAAACGUGGAUUCAGACACAACGCUGCACAAGAAUAUCAUGAAAGAGACCUUGAAUGAAGAAUGUCUGGACACUGCUUUGGCUCUUAGAGACCAGAAGAUACUUUUCAGGGCUUUGAAAGUAGCUGAAUUAUUUCCAGAGUGGAGGAAAAAGGAUGAACUAGAAGAACUAAUGGAUCAAGCCAUGGGUGGGGAAGCAGGUGCUGUGGGAGGAGCUGCCUGUGGUUCCCAAGAGGGCAAUGACCAGUCUGAGCUCAGCCAACGUGAGCGGGAAGAUUUGGCAAAGGACAAAGAGGGAAUGGAUCUGGGGAGUUACAAAACAUGGGAGAACAUUUUCAGCAAAGAGCUUCUGGCUUGCCAGGUAGCAGGCUCAGCAACCAGCUCAGGACAAAAGACUGAGGAGGCUUCCAAAAAAACAGCAGCAGCCUCUCGUGCUGCCAGCUCCACACAGAAGGCAAAGGAAGGAUCUGAUGGUGCAGAAGAGGGAAAGGGCCAAAAGUCUGAACAAGUAACACCGAGUAGAGAACUGAAUGGACUGGCUCCCUGGCAAGAAGGGGUCCUGGAGAGGCUGAAGAAGGAAGUCGGUGUGGCGGAUUACAACAUGUAUCUGGUACAUCACGGGGGAAUGCUCAUCCGCUUUGGCCAGAUGGCUGCUUGCACUCCCAGAGAAAAAGAUUUUGUCUAUGGGAACUUGGAAGCCCAGGAGGUGAAGACUGUCUACACCUUCAAAGUGCCAGUUAGUUACUGUGGCAAAAGAGCACGACUAGGAGAUGCACUGGGCCACAAGAUGCCAACUUCAGACAAGUCAGUGGAUACCUCAGAACUGGGAAUAACCAUAGAAGAACUACCCAAGACAAAUAUAGUUGAAGCCACACUGCUGUGUGCUCUGGAGAAAGAGCUGAAAGGCCAUGAGAUCUCUGAAGCAAGAGGUAUUGAUGGACUCUUUGUGGAUUUUGCGACACAGACAUACAGCUUUCCUUUGGAGCCCUUCUCCUCCAGCGCAGUUCUAGCAGAUAUUCUGGAUGAAAACAGCCCACCAGAGCUGCACAUGGAGCUCUACACUGAAUGUGUAACCAGAAGACACAACAAAAGCAGUUCAGCUUUCACAUUCACUUGCAGUCAUUUCUUUAGAAGGGAUGAGUUCCCAUUCCACUUCAAGAAUGUGCACGCUGAUAUCCAGUCAUGCCUGGACGGAUGGUUCCAGCACCGCUGCCCACUGGCCUACUUGGGAUGUCCUUUUGUCCAAAAUCUCUUCCGCCCCGAGGGACUUAAGGCCAAGGUUAUUUACAGCAAGCCUCUCAAGACAUUUGCUAUUAAGCCAGAGGUGGACACCCUUCUUGCUGAACCGGGCAAGUGCAAUUUCAUAGUGGAUAGUCGAGGGAGAAGCAGGGACUUGCUGAGCAGCCUCCCAGUGGAAGUGCUCAAGUACAUUGCAGGAUUCCUGGACAGCUUCAGUUUAUCUCAGCUAUCACAAGUGUCAGUGCUCAUGAGGGACAUCUGUGCCACUCUUCUUCAAGAGAGGGGAAUGGUCCUGCUGGUCUGGGAGAAAAAAAGAUAUUCCCACGGUGGUACUUCUUGGAGAGCUCGCAAAAAGGUCUGGCAGUUCAGCAGCCUGUUCUCCAGAGUUCACAACUGGCAGCGCAGCGAUGUUCCGAGCAUGUCGGAGCACCUGAGGAAUUGUCCCUUUUACCAGGCGGAGCGCAGGACAGACCCCGUGCUGCUGACGGGCAUGAGCGAGUCUCGGGAGCAGACUCGAAAGACUUUGGUCUCUACUUUCAAGCACAGAGUCUGAACAACUUGCUUCCCCUCUGGCAUGCUCCCUUCAGGGCUCUGAGAUGAAGAUUUGGGGAUUCAGGUGUAAAGAUUGUUGCUUCCAGCUUUCCUUUGGACGUCCAAAAUUGGUUUCUCCCCAGCUGCAUUUGAAACCUCUGCAUUUUUUUUUCCUUACAUUAAUUUGUUAAAGCUUCGACCACUGCUUACUAACUUCACAUGCUUUCUGUUUUCUGUUCCUGGUUUAAUACAGCAUCCUGAAGAAAGCAAUGAGGAUCUUAUUUGAAAACAGCAUUUUUACAUCCUUGAAGGGUCUGAACUGGAAAAGGGGAUCCAAUUCCAGCAGAGCAUUGAGGUUGCUCUCAGUCCAGCCCCCACACUCUGGAUCUUCAUGACUUUGAUCUUGUUUGUGCUGUCCACAAGUCCUGUGAAGUGCAAGAGCAAUACUCCACACACUCCAGGCUGAUGUGUCUUGCAGUGUUUCUUCUCACUGGAAAAGUGGAAGUGAAAUGAAGGCAUCAUGGAAAUCAGAAAGGUCAGAGCAGGGCAAAAAACCUCAUGACAAGAGAAGACAGGAACGAGAAAAGGUAAUGGGUUUGGAUAGAGAGACCUGCCUCUUUGUAGGUGGUGUGAGGAGAGGCAAGAGGAGACAGGUGAUAGGGCACAGGAAUGAAAGGAGUUGGGAUGUGCUGCCAAAACCAGAGGUUUUCUGGAUAAAAGCAUUUCCUUGAGAAAGACUCUGGAAGUUCCCAGCUGGUGCUAUACAGUGAUAUGGGGCAGAAGAUAAUUUUU